rnacentral:rRNA from 1 species
GAAUUUUGGACAAUGGGCGAAAGCCUGAUCCAGCAAUGCCGCGUGCAGGAAGAAGGCCUUCGGGUUGUAAACUGCUUUUGUACGGAACGAAAAGCUUUGUGUUAAUACCCUGGAGUCAUUACGGUACAGUACGGAUAAGCACCGGCCAACUACGUCCCCGCAGCCGCGGUAAUGCGUAGGGUGCAAGCGUGAAUCGGAAUUACUGGGCGUAAAGCGUGCGCAGGCGGUUUUGUAAGACAGAGGUGAAAUCCCCGGGCUCAACCUGGGAACUGCCUUUGUGACUGCAAGGCUAGAGUACGGCAGAGGGGGGUGGAAUUCCGCGUGUAGCAGUGAAAUGCGUAGAUAUGCGGAGGAACACCGAUGGCGAAGGCAACCCCCUGGGCCUGUACUGACGCUCAUGCACGAAAGCGUGGGGAGCAAACAGG